rnacentral:lncRNA from 1 species
CUUUGGGUCACUUGCUGGACUGAGCAUCUGUCUCACUCAACUGAACAGCUGGAGGGAUGGUGGGUGUCUCUGCGGGCCAUGCAUGUGUCCUGUUCCGGGAGGAGAAGGGAGAGCUAACUACAAGGCUGAAAAAACGUAAUAAAGCCAAGAUUCAGAGAAAUUAAGCAUCUCAAUGGAAGUCAUGCAGCUACAGGAAGCAGAGUCAGACGGGUCUGACUUCACUGUCUCCAGUGCAUCAUGCUAACCCUCCUGCUUCUCCUCUCUACCUAGUUAGGGGCUUUCUAACAGGCCAGAAGAUUAGAUGAGAGAGGCAUUGCCAUUUUGCACUGAUGCUAUGAUUGUCAACUCCAGGACUCACCACACUAUCUGGCUCAUUGCAUUUUCAUUGAAUGAUAUUUCCACUUCUAUGAUUCGGAUAAGAAUAGUUUAUGUCAAUGUUGAGAGGACACGUAAGUGUGCAAUCACUUUGAACUCUAACAAGAAAAAUAACAUGAUUGUUUAGGUCUUAACAGGUGAUGUUCUAAGACCUGUCAUAUAUUAAUCACAUCAUUCUCAUAAAAAUCCUAUAAGGUAUGACUGUCUAUUUGCAUGGCACACUUGAGAGAUAAAGUCACUUUCUGAAGAUUAUACAGUAAAUAAAUAUGGAGC